rnacentral:misc_RNA from 1 species
GAUGAAGCACGUAGCGAAAUGCGAUAAGUAAUGUGAAUUGCAGAAUUCAGUGAAUCAUCGAAUCUUUGAACGCACAUUGCGCCCCUUGGUAUUCCGGGGGGCAUGCCUGUUCGAGCGUCAUUACAACCCUCAAGCUCUGCUUGGUCUUGGGCGUCACCGGUCCCCGGUGUGCCUUAAAAUCAGUGGCGGCGCCAUCUGGCUCUAAGCGUAGUACAUACUCUCGCUACAGACGUCCGGUGGAUGCUGGCCAGCAACCCCCAAUUUAUCAAGGUUGACCUCGGAUCAGGUAGGGAUACCCGCUGAACUUAAGCAUAUCAAUAAGCGGAGGA